GAUUGUCAAACUCUGUUUCUGUUUAAUAGGAGUAUAUGGGCUUCACAGAAUGAGUCUGCACAUUAUCAUCAAAACGUAGAACUCUGCGUCCACCUUCUGUUGUAAGGAGUCCAUGAUGAAUUGGCUCUGAAACCAGUGGAUUAGCAUAUUAGUUGUCAAUCUCUCCUGCUGACGUUCCCAUGUGAAGAUACCUUAUGUCACUCACCUGAAUAUAUGGGAAAGAAAGGAACAGAAAUCACUGAUACUCAUGUGCUGAAAUGCAGCUUUCAAUCACGGGAAGGAGGUCCAAAAUCUGAAGGAAAAUACUUCAAAAGUGUGGAAAGCAAAACUGUUCUCUCAAGCCCAUCUGCUGGAUAUGAUUAGUCUGUGGACAUUUUUCCCUCCAAAUUUUCAGCUCCUUAUGUGGUAAGGAAAAAUGUUUGAGUUCUUAAAUGCUGACAGGUUAGGAAAACUGUUUCCUUUGCUGCAGCCCCUAUAACUGUGCAGCCCUUGUUUGUGGACUGAUAGCACUGGGCCGGCAGCCAGGACCGACACGAUUCAGUGGGGCUCUGGCUGGCAGCAGUGCUAACAAAGGAGCUGGUCUGAGAUGCUUUUGUUUUACUGUCAUCAAUGUCUUAUUGUUUGCUAGAAUAAUUGCCCAGUUAAUCCUAACUGGUAGGAUAAUUAUAUAAAGCUCAUGCCCAGUGUAAACAGGAGGCAAUAUUCUUUCUUUAUCUUUGCCUGGCAUUAAGUACCCUCAGCUUCUAACAGCCUCUCAGGAUUGGCCCUUAAUUGUUUACUGCCAGGCAAUAUAGGUUGACAAAUUAACAUCAGGGACAUGGGAUCAAAUCCUAAUCUCCUUUAUUAUUCAGGUGAGGUUCCAGAUUUUUUAGGGCCUACUUUUACUAGAUCUAAGGAUUAGACUUAAUUAGAUUGUGUCCUAUAUUUAUAGCCACCCAGCUGGUAUUUUUGACUUUGAAACAUGUAGUUCCAGAAGUUCAUGUUUUAACAGGCUUUUUCUC
rnacentral:lncRNA from 1 species